AGCAGCCGCGGUAAUUCCAGCUCCAAUAGCGUAUAUUAAAGUUGUUGCAGUUAAAAAGCUCGUAGUUGAAUUUCGGGACUAAUAUGUCGGUCGUGCCUCGGUACGAACAGGUUUAUUGGUUUCUCCUUUCUGAAGAACCAUGAUGUCAUUUAUUUGGUGUCGUGGGGAAUCAGGACUGUUACUUUGAAAAAAUUAGAGUGUUUAAAGCAGGCUCACGCUUGAAUACAUUAGCAUGGAAUAAUGAAAUAGGACGUUUGAUUCUAUUUUGUUGGUUUCUAGGAUCGACGUAAUGAUUAAUAGGGAUAGUUGGGGGCAUUAGUAUUCAAUUGUCAGAGGUGAAAUUCUUGGAUUUAUUGAAGACUAACUACUGCGAAAGCAUUUGCCAAGGAUGUUUUCAUUAAUCAAGAACGAAAGUUAGGGGAUCGAAGACGAUCAGAUACCGUCGUAGUCUUAACCAUAAACUAUGCCGACUAGGGAUCGGAUGAUGUUAAUUUUUUAAUGACUCAUUCGGCGCCUUACG
rnacentral:rRNA from 1 species